GGCGAGUGAAGCGGCAAAAGCUCAAAUUUGAAAUCCUUCGGGAAUUGUAUUUUGAAGGUGGGUUUGGUUCGGAAAAGUUACUUUAAGUCCAUUGGAAAAUGGCGCCAUGGAGGGUGAUAGCCCCGUAAAAGUAUCCCUUUUCCUUUUAUCCAUUCCCUCCAAAGAGUCGAGUUGUUUGGGAAUGCAGCUCUAAGUGGGUGGUAAAUUCCAUCUAAAGCUAAAUAUUGGCGAGAGACCGAUAGCGAACAAGUACAGUGAUGGAAAGAUGAAAAGCACUUUGAAAAGAGAGUGAAAAAGUACGUGAAAUUGUUGAAAGGGAAGGGCUUGCAAGCAGACACAACCUCGGUUGGGCCAGCAUCGGAGUGGGGGGAGACAAAAAAGAAAAGGAAUGUAACUCUUUCGAGUAUUAUACCCUUUUUCUAAUAUCUCC
rnacentral:rRNA from 1 species